UACAGAGGUCCCAAGCGUUGUUCGGAUUCACUGGGCGUAAAGGGUGCGUAGGUGGCUGGGUAAGUUUGAUGUGAAAUCUCCGGGCUUAACCCGGAAAUGGCAUUGAAUACUAUUCGGCUAGAGGUUUGGAGGGGGACUGGAAUUCUCGGUGUAGCAGUGAAAUGCGUAGAUAUCGAGAGGAACACCAGUGGCGAAGGCGAGUCCCUGGACAACACCUGACACUGAGGCACGAAAGCUAGGGGAGCAAACAGG
rnacentral:rRNA from 1 species